CCUACGGGCGGCAGCAGUGAGGAAUAUUGGUCAAUGGCCGGAAGGCUGAACCAGCCAAGCCGCGUGAAGGACGAAGGUUCCAAGCAUUGUAAACUUCUUUUGUCAAGGGACAAAAUCAGGCUCGAGAGCCUGACCGAGUGUACUUGAAGAAAAAGCAUCGGCUAACUCCGUUCCAGCAGCCCCGGUAAUACGGGGGAUGCGGGCGUGAUCCGGAUUUAUUGGGUUAAAAGGGUGCGUAGGCGGACUGUUAAGUCAGCGGUAAAACCCCGGGGCUCAACCCCGGCGAGCCGUUGAAACUGGCUGUCUUGAGAUGAGGAGAGGUAUGGGGAAUGCGUGGUGUAGCGGUGAAAUGCUUAGAUAUUGCGCAGAACUCCGAUUGCGAAGGCAGCAUACCGGCGGCGAUCUGACGCUGAGGCACGAAAGCGUGGGUAUCGAACAGGAUUAGAUACCCUAGUAGUC
rnacentral:rRNA from 1 species